rnacentral:rRNA from 1 species
GAAUUUUAUAUAAAAAAAAUUAAGAAAUAUUUAAUAGUAUUUAUAUUUAAUUGGGAGGAUUGUUAAAUUUUAAAAACUUUAAUUAAAAAUAAAAUAUAAAUUUGUGGAUUAAAGAGUUGGAUUAUAAAAUAAAAAAGAAUUAAUUACCUUAGGGAUAACAGCGUAAUAUUUUUGGAGAGAUUAUAUUAAUAAAAAUGUUUGC